AUCCAGAUGACUGGUCCUAAAUAGGACGAAACGCGCGUCCUGGAU
rnacentral:hammerhead_ribozyme from 1 species